rnacentral:lncRNA from 1 species
UUGAAAUUAAGAAUAUAAACAUAUUUCAAGCAUCUUUAUGAUAUUGAUUUGGUCUUUAGGCCUAUUUCCGAAGUGAUUUGAUAUAUUAUAUAUGCAUAUGCUUGUGAUUCAAAAGAUGUUAAAUUGAGAGCAUGCAUUAUAUGAAACCCCUCUCUUGAUAUGAAAUUGUUUGAAAUUUUCAUAUGAUGUGAAUUGUUUGAAAUCAUCUUGACAAGCAUGACAUGAACUAUUUUGAAAGUGGAUAUGAUUUUCGACUUGCAAGGAAAGGGUUAUUAUCUUAAAAU